rnacentral:tRNA from 3 species
GCCGGGAUGGUGAAAUGGAUAGACACGUCUGAUUACCGCCAGAUGAUGCAAUGCAUCAUGCGAGUUCGAGUCUCGCUCCCGGUACCA